rnacentral:rRNA from 1 species
CCGAGUUUACAACUCCCAAACCCAAUGUGAACGUUACCAAACUGUUGCCUCGGCGGGGUCACGCCCCGGGUGCGUCGCAGCCCCGGAACCAGGCGCCCGCCGGAGGAACCAACCAAACUCUUUCUGUAGUCCCCUCGCGGACGUAUUUCUUACAGCUCUGAGCAAAAAUUCAAAAUGAAUCAAAACUUUCAACAACGGAUCUCUUGGUUCUGGCAUCGAUGAAGAACGCAGCGAAAUGCGAUAAGUAAUGUGAAUUGCAGAAUUCAGUGAAUCAUCGAAUCUUUGAACGCACAUUGCGCCCGCCAGUAUUCUGGCGGGCAUGCCUGUCCGAGCGUCAUUUCAACCCUCGAACCCCUCCGGGGGAUCGGCGUUGGGGAUCGGGACCCCUCACACGGGUGCCGGCCCCGAAAUACAGUGGCGGUCUCGCCGCAGCCUCUCCUGCGCAGUAGUUUGCACAACUCGCACCGGGAGCGCGGCGCGUCCACGUCCGUAAAACACCCAACUUUCUGAAAUGUUGACCUCGGAUCAGGUAGGAAUACCCGCUGAACUUAAGCAUAUAA